AUGACUACUACUACUGUCACUUUUCCAAUUCUCCAGUUGCCCACGCAGGCUCUGAGAAAAGCACUUUGGAUAUUGGCACCCCGUGAUAUAAUCAAUUUUGCUCUAAUCUCCGAAUCUGCAAAACAAGCAGCUGAGUCAUUGAAUCUCAAAAAGAAGCAAAUUGUGAUCGAUGUUAAUGAAACAAUUUCCGUAGAAGUCACUGAUUUCAAAUUCGGAUGACAGUGCUUAAAGGUUCGGUGUGGAUAGCACUCACAUCGUUUAUCGAUUUGGCAGCUCUAAGCUUUUCAAUUCCCGUCAAUCUUCUUUUGUUGUACUGUAUUUGCACAAAAUCUGAAAAAUCAUUUGGUCGAUACAAACAUCUCAUGGCUUGGUUUUCAAUGCAAAGCAUAUUUUUUACGAUUAUCGCUUCUGUCACACACAUGUGUUUCCACACAAUUGGAGGAACAUUUAUGAUGUUUACUAUAAGUAAUCACUUGAAUCUUCCAUCAUGGGGUAUUUGGGCUUCAUUAGGUUUAUGUUGUGUAUCCGUUGGAUAUGUUCUUUUGAUUCUUAGUGCACAAUUUGUUUUUCGGUAUUUUGCAAUGCACAAUAAAAAAAAUCUGAAAUACUUCUUCGGCUGGCGUCUUCUAUAUUUCGUAUUUUCAAUGUUGAUUGUAGCUGUUGUCUAUGGAGGAUGUGGCUUUGUAGGUAUUAAUCUAACAGCGGAAAAAGAUAAAUCAAUAAGAGAAUCGAUGGCUUUAGUUUAUGAAGUGCCAGCUGAGCAAGUAUAUUAUGUGGCAGUCGAAUACUUUGUUCGAAAUGAGAAAAACGAAAGAGUUCUCAAUUAUUUAUCCAUUGGCACUGCUCUUACACUCAACAGUGUAUUUGGUGCAAUGGUUAUUGUGAUUAUUUAUUGUGGAGUUAAAACCUACAAAGUGACACAUAAAACUACAUCCCACUUGUCUUCGCAUAUGUAUAUUCAAAAACAAUUAUUCACAGCGCUUCUUGUUCAGACCCUUACACCAACUGCCUUAAUUUUUGUUCCGUGUGCAAUAUUUUAUGUUCUCCCACUUUUCGAACUUCCACUUGACGCCGACGCUAAUAUUCUCAGUAUAUCAUUGGUUUUGUAUCCUAUGAUUGACCCAAUUGGAGUUUUGUUCAUCAUCAAGCCGUACAGGAAUUUCUUGAAAAAACUCUUUUGCCAUCGUCUCGUUCGUCAAAAUCGAUGCAGUACAAUAGAAAUGAAUGUUUCAAGUAUAUCGAGCCGGAAAAAAGAAAAGAAAGGAGGGUCGUCAGAUGAAACUUCUCCGCGAUUUGAUUCCAUUCAAAAUUAA